CCGCGGUAAUACGUAGGGAGCAAGGUUGUCCGGAUUUACUGGGUGUAAAGGGUGCGUAGGCGGGCUGGCAAGUCAGGCGUGAAACCCGGGGCUCAACUCCGGGGCUGCGCUUGAAACUGUCGGUCUUGAGUGAGGUAGAGGCAACGGAAUUCCUAGUGUAGCGGUGAAAUGCGUAGAUAUUAGGAGGAACACCAGUGGCGAAGGGGCUUGCUGGGCCUUAACUGACGCUGAGGCACGAAAGCGUGGGGAGCAAACAGGAUUAGAACCCUGGUAGUCCACGCUGUAAACGAUGAUUGCUAGGUGUGGGGGGUCGACUCCCUCCGUCCGGAGUAAACGCAAUAAGCAAUCCACCUGGGGAGUACGACCGCAAGGUUGAAACUCAAAGAAUUGACGGGGGCCCGCACAAGCAGUGGAGUAUGUGGUUUAAUUCGAAGCAACGCGAAGACCUUACCAGGUCUUGACAUCCAACUAACGAAGUAGAGAUACAUUAGGUGCCCUUCGGGGAAGUUGAGACAGGUGGUGCAUGGUUGUCGUCAGCUCGUGUCGUGAGAUGUUGGGUUAAGUCCGCAACGAGCGCAACCCUUGUCAUUAGUUGCUACGCAAGAGCACUCUAAUGAGACUGCCUUGACAAAACGGAGGAAGGUGGGGACGACGUCAAAUCAUCAUGCCCCUUAUGACCUGGGCACACACGUACUACAAUGGUCGUCAACAGAGGGAAGCAAUACCGCGAGGUGGAGCAAACCCUAAAAACGAUCCCAGUUCAGAUUGUAGGCUGCAACUCGCCUAUAUGAAGUUGGAAUUGCUGUAAUCGCGGAUCAGCAUGCCGCGGUGAAUACGUUCCCGGGCCUUGCACACACCGCCCGU
rnacentral:rRNA from 1 species